GGGGGCUGGCCGGAUCCUGGGCUGUGUCCCGGUGCCCAGUGCUCCUGGGCCUGCGCUGUUGGAUUUGCCCUCCUGGUGGCGCAUCCGCCU
rnacentral:pre_miRNA from 1 species